rnacentral:rRNA from 1 species
AACGAACGCUGGCGGCAGGCCUAACACAUGCAAGUCGAACGAACCUUCGGGUGAGUGGCGCACGGGUGCGUAACACGUGGGAAUUUACAUUUCGGUAAGGAAUAACGUAGAGAAAUUUACGCUAAUACCUUAUAAUGACUCCGGUCCAAAGAUUUAUCGCCGAAGGAUAAGCCCGCGCUAGAUUAGGUAGUUGGUGAGGUAAAGGCUCACCAAGCCCACGAUCUAUAGCUGGUCUGAGAGGAUGAUCAGCCACACUGGAACUGAGACACGGUCCAG